GUGAGUAACACGUGGGUGAUCUGCCUUGCACUCUGGGAUAAGCCUGGGAAACUGGGUCUAAUACCGGAUAUGACCUUCAACUGCAUGGUUGAGGGUGGAAAGAUUUAUCGGUGCAAGAUGAGCCCGCGGCCUAUCAGCUUGUUGGUGGGGUAAUGGCCUACCAAGGCGACGACGGGUAGCCGGCCUGAGAGGGCGACCGGCCACACUGGGACUGAGACACGGCCCAGACUCCUACGGGAGGCAGCAGUGGGGAAUAUUGCACAAUGGGCGGAAGCCUGAUGCAGCGACGCCGCGUGAGGGAUGACGGCCUUCGGGUUGUAAACCUCUUUCGACUCCGACGAAGCGAAAGUGACGGUAGGAGUAUAAGAAGCACCGGCCAACUACGUGCCAGCAGCCGCGGUAAUACGUAGGGUGCGAGCGUUGUCCGGAAUUACUGGGCGUAAAGAGCUUGUAGGCGGUCUGUCACGUCAUCUGUGAAAACUUGGGGCUCAACCUUAAGCUUGCAGGCGAUACGGGCAGACUAGAGUACUUCAGGGGAGACUGGAAUUCCUGGUGUAGCGGUGAAAUGCGCAGAUAUCAGGAGGAACACCGGUGGCGAAGGCGGGUCUCUGGGAAGUAACUGACGCUGAGAAGCGAAAGCAUGGGUAGCGAACAGGAUUAGAUAC
rnacentral:rRNA from 1 species